rnacentral:rRNA from 1 species
UACGUAGGGUGCGAGCGUUAAUCGGAAUUACUGGGCGUAAAGCGUGCGCAGGCGGUUCGUUGUGUCGGUGGUGAAAUCCCCGGGCUUAACCUGGGAAUGGCCAUGGAAACUGGCGAACUGGAGUGCGGCAGAGGGGGGUGGAAUUCCGCGUGUAGCAGUGAAAUGCGUAGAUAUGCGGAGGAACCCCGAUGGCGAAGGCAAUCCCUUGGGCCUGCACUGACGCUCAUGCACGAAAGCGUGGGGAGCAAACAGG